UAAAAUCCAAACAGGUUUAAAAAGUCUCUUUAAGCAAAAUGAUCCUCCAUUCCAUUAUUGUGAACUCUGACAUCCUGCCAAACUCAUAUUUUUUACAUAUCAAAAUAAAAUAUUUGUAGCAAAUUAAAACCCUUUAUUAAUACUUUAUCUUUGUAUGUUGCUCUGAUAAAUUUUGAUGUUUUUCUUUUGGUAGCUUAAUUUUUUUAAAUCCUACUUUGGACCAUUUGAGCUUCUGGGAAGUAUUUUGGAUUGUUGGAAUUACAGACUUCAUUCUGAAAUUCUUUUUCAUGGGCUUAAAAUGCCUUAUUUUAUUGGUGCCUUCUUUCAUCAUGCCUUUUAAAUCUAAGGGUUACUGGUAUAUGCUUUUAGAAGAAUUGUGUCAAUACUACCGAACUUUUGUUCCCAUACCAGUUUGGUUUCGCUACCUUAUAAGCUAUGGGGAGUUUGGUAACGUAACUAGAUGGAGUCUUGGGAUACUGCUGGCUUUACUCUACCUCAUAUUAAAACUUUUGGAAUUUUUUGGGCAUCUGAGAACUUUCAGACAGGUUUUACGAAUAUUUUUUACACAACCAAGUUAUGGAGUGGCUGCCAGCAAGAGACAGUGUUCAGAUGUGGAUGAUAUUUGUUCAAUAUGUCAAGCUGAAUUUCAGAAGCCAAUUCUUCUCAUCUGUCAGGUAAUUACAUUUUUAAAUUUAAAAACCUAAAUACAACAGUUCUCUGUGACUUGCAAAAGUCAAAUUUAUGUUUGCUGUAAGGCAAAAAAAAAAAAAAAAAAA
rnacentral:sRNA from 1 species